AAACACCGGUGAUCUGUAGAACAGUGUGGACCCAGCCCAGGAGGCAGGAGGCAUGAGGCAGGAGGUUGCGUAAUGCGUAGUCAUAUACUCGUACAUCCCUACCGAACCGUCGAACUCAUUCGGAUCGUUAUGAACCUGUGAUCCUCGGUCAAACCUCAAAACCUACCAAUCUCUGUCUGUUUGUCUCUCUCGCGGUUUCGAAAGCAGUGAUAAUGGCGGAAAAAGGUUUUAGUUCGAAGCUUUAACAUCACCAGAAGUGGACUGAUGGAUAAUACACAAGAUUUACUGGUUCUUGAUGCUGAUGGAGAUGCAAGGAAACAAAAUUUGGUUGACCCUUGCUGUUCUUCAUCCUCUGGUUGCCAAGGGUAUCGAUUGUUUGAUCGCCAAAGAUCAAUGUGGCAGAUAAUGGGAGGAGGCAAAGUUUAUUUGAUCAAAGGGGAUGACCCUGCUGAUAGAUUCUCAGUAUCAGGGAGGGUUUGCUUGCUGGCUUUGCUCAGGAUAGCUAUGGUAGGCUUUGGAAGACAUUCUGCAGCUCAGGCUUGUUACAUUUCUGCCAAAAAUUGGGCUUCUCUUUACAAGUGCAAAAUACCAUAGGGGAAAAGCUGUGUAUACUUGAACUUUGACAAAUUCCACUGCAUCCCUCGUGCUUGCCUUAGGCCAAGCAACCUCCAUGCUGUAUGUGCCGGUGUAUCUAAUUGGCACCCAUUGUGUCACGUACUGCCAGUCAUGUAACUCGAACAUUUCAUCCCUCAUACCCUUCAAAUGUAGACACUUUCCCGGAACAAGGCACACUAUCUUUGGAGCUAACAAAUCUAUUGCUCAUUCUUUUAGAAUGUUUGCUAAUUCUCACCACCAAAAGAGUGAUAUUUUGGAACAUUCAUCAUCA